rnacentral:rRNA from 1 species
GACGAACGCUGGCGGCGUGCCUAAUACAUGCAAGUUGAGCGCUGAAGGUUGGUACUUGUACCGACUGGAUGAGCAGCGAACGGGUGAGUAACGCGUGGGGAAUCUACCUUUGAGCGGGGGACAACAUUUGGAAACGAAUGCUAAUACCGCAUAAAAACUUUAAACACAAGUUUUAAGUUUGAAAGAUGCAAUUGCAUCACUCAAAGAUGAUCCCGCGUUGUAUUAGCUAGUUGGUGAGGUAAAGGCUCACCAAGGCGAUGAUACAUAGCCGACCUGAGAGGGUGAUCGGCCACAUUGGGACUGAGACACGGCCCAAACGCCUACGGGAGGCAGCAGUAGGGAAUCUUCGGCGAUGGACGAAAGUCUGACCGAGCAACGCCGCGUGAGUGAAGAAGGUUUUCGGAUCGUAAAACUCUGUUGGUAGAGAAGAACGUUGGUGAGAGUGGAAAGCUCAUCAAGUGACGGUAACUACCCAGAAAGGGACGGCUAACUACGUGCCAGCAGCCGCAGUAA